rnacentral:lncRNA from 1 species
AAAAUUAAAGUAGCGUAGAAGCCUAAUAAAUAAUUAUAGUACUAUUUUCCUGGUUCUUCGGCAGUUCACCCAAUCCAAACAGUCCAACUUCUUGGUAACUGGAAUUAAGCCCACAAAGUUGGAAAUUGAUGUGCACACGUAAGACUCGGGCACCAUCUGCUUGAAAACUGCAUGAAAAAGAGCCAAAAAAAAAUAAAUAAAUAAAAAAAAGUGGUCAGGGGAAGUUGCGGAGGGGUGUUAAAUAAAAGUUUUCUAUGAGACUUGUUUCAUCUGAGAAUAACAUGAGGUGAUCGUUGCUUUUGUAAUUGAAAAAGGUUAGUUAUAAUUUAAGUUGUUCCAAGAGAUGAACUUUGUCCUCGAUCGCUAGUACUUAAUUUGCAGUAUAAAUCCAAAAACAGCAAUAAAACAACAUUUUUAGAGCCGGAAAAUAACACAAUUUUGGCAUUCAGCGUGGAGAUUACCAACAACUCUGUACCCGCAAGCUCUUUCCCUCGUCAUGUUCAUACGGCAUGCACUUAACAAUGAAUGGAAGGCCCACCACACAACUACGAAGCCGAAGAGCAACUCACCCAUAAUCGUUUUGUUUCCAACCAUUUCAUCUUUCCUACCUUCGCCACAAUUAACUUUAGUCAAAACCAUUAAACAAUUCUGAUUAGUUGAGAGAAGGUGAGUGGAACCACCAGUUUCACCACCAACCAAAAGAACCAUCUAUAUAAUAAUCCACAUCACAAUAAAUUCACAAGAAGCAAAAGGGAAAUAAACAACAGAAAUGGCCACCACUUUCACAGAGAGUGAGCACAAGGCUACCAAAAAGCAAGAAGUCACAGUGGUGGAUAAAGAUGAAGAGCACCAGAAUGACGAAGAAGAGUUCUUCGAGCUCGAUUUGGAGGUGCUUAACCGCAUAGAGACACUGCAGUAUUACGAGCACCGUCAGACUACCGCAGAAGCACUUCUUGCGAAUUGCCUUCUUCCUGUUGAGUAUAUAUGCAAUGCAAUACCGAUCGAAAGCAGCAGCAGCAGCAGCAGCAGCAGGAUGAAUGUUCCCUCAAAGAGGUUUGCCUACACACAAUAUCCAACGGUUGAUUCUCGUUGCGGGAGUUUCGAUGGAAGAAACACACGGAAGGUGAGCUAUGGUCAUUUCUGAACUAAACAGAAGUGCGAUAUAUAAUUCAAAGCGCACUUGAUUAAAUUCAAACACACUGUUAGCAUGAAAGAAGUGAUCUUGUUUGUACUUUAGUUUGCCUCCACUAUGCAGUGCUACAUAUAUAUAAAAGGUAUUUGCAAUUUUAUGACAUUGAAGAGAAGUGCUACCAUGUACAUAAAGUAGCUAAUUUUCCAUACGGAGCGUGACAGAGAUGCAACAAAAGCGAUUCAUUUUCGAGUCUAAAUACAGAAGGAAAACCAGUAUCUUCUGCUAUCGAUAAUAAGAACAAUUUUGGUUAAUUCAUCUAAGAUAGAUGAGUCAAGCAAGUCUGUCACACUCUAGACAUCCAUAUCUAUACAUUAAUUUUCAUAGAAUUUACCACAUGACAAUAUUUUUUCAUUCUUACCUUUCCUCCCCUUCUCACUACCUGUUAGGAGUCGAAUUCCGUCCUCUUUGACCCGGACAAAAAUCUUCCUUAGGAAGCGCGUCGGCUUCGGAUGGUGACCCUCGAAGUUUACCCCCUUCGACUGGAUCACUGGAUCAAGUGAUUUAGCUGAUGAGGGAUCGGAUCAGCCGAGUUCGAAAAUUUUUAUUGUAGAAUCGGUUCGGCUAGAUGAGCCGAAUUAAUAAAAUGCACAGAGUUUUAGGUCGGCUGAUGAGCCAAAUUUAUGAAAUGCACAUCAGUAAUUGGUCGGCUGAAAGAGCCGAAUGCUUUUAUAUAUUAAUAAAACAGAAUGUGCUCGAAGGGCAUACAUACUCUGAAUAUCUAGUUUACAACAGAGUGUGCCCGUGAGGCAUACAGACUCUAGAGAUUUAACUCAAAAACUACUUCUAGGAAAGCAGUAAAUGCGGAAAAGAAAAAGAUUACAUAUAGACUACUCCUAGAAAAGCGAUAAAAUUGUAGAGGACAUAAAGAUGGUCUUCUGGUUCAGGAAGGAGAAAGACCCCCAUUGCAGGUUUCGAAAUUACUAUUUAUAGUAAUAUCAACCCACAUUAUUGGUUGGUUGAAAAUAGUGGGGGGAGUAGUUGUAGCCAUGAUCGUGGAAGUUACGCCAACUUCUCAUGGAAGUUAUGCCCACUUCUCAACCGUUCCUAUCUAAAAGUUCUCAACUUUCAGACGCCUUAUUGCCGACUCCUGGUGUACCACGUAUCCUUAUUUCUUUAGCUUAUACGUGGGUUAGGUCGGCAAGCUAAUUUUUUCGCAUCAACACUACUUAUGUUUUGCCUUUCUACCUCCCAUCUUCACUCAAUACUUCGUCUUUCCACCUGCUUACUUUCUAAUUAAUGUGUUGAAACAAUUUAUUGUCAUGUAAAUUAAUCGCUUUCACAAAAAAGAAGAAGAAGAUCUAUUUAUACUUUUUUUUUCAUACUACUUAUAUUUAUUGAUACCUCAUGGCAAGUCAAAAAAUUUUAAAAUUUUUAUUUUAUCAAUUUUCUAUCUUUUAUACUAUUAGUCCGACACAAUGCGUUGAUAACUUCACUGGUAUUUAUUCAUAGCAUUUCUAUCACAAAAAAAAAGUUUACCUUUUGCUGCUGUUUUAUUACAAAACUUAUUAAAUAUUUCAAAAGAAAAGGACCGGCCUCACGAAAAAUAGAGUCAAGAAAUUGAAGUGAUUCAUUCUGUGCAAUCCACCAACUAAUAUUUCACGCUCACCAGGAAUCUUAAACAAUUGAAGAUAAAGGAGUGAAGCCAUAAAUUUCAUUAACCGGGAUUUGAGUUAACUUUAACGGCAUGUUUGGUUCACCUAUUUUAGACUAUGAAAUCGGAAUAAAAUUUAUCGAUUCCGAUAGUUGCCGUCUCUUUUAUAGAAAUCGAAUUCCGAUUCUCAUUCCAUUUCGGAAUGGAAAUGGCUAAAUCCAUUUAUGAUCCAAUCUGGCUUUGAAUUUCAGAUUGGCUUAUUCCAAAGUAAACUAUUCAAAAUUUUCUUUCACCGACACUAUUCAAGAUUUUCAUUUUGAUUUUCAUUCUAAUAAUGAACCAAAUAUUUUUGAAUAAUUCGCCAUUUCAUUUUUCAUCUCAAAACAAUUCAAUUCUAUUUUUCAUUUCUAUUCCAAUUACAAACCGAACAUUCCCUAAAUGUUAUAUCAUUUCUGUUAGAAAUAAAAAAAAAGAAAAAUAAAUUAAUAAAUUAAACAUAUAAUAUUUUAAUUCUCUCAUGGUCUUACCUCGCGCUUUAACUUAAAACUUAUAUUUUUAAUACUCUUACAAUUUCAUUUAAAAAAAUGUGUUUAGCCAUGGCUAUUGUAAUGCAUGAGUGAUUUUUCUUUUUCUUUUUCUUUUUUUUUUUGAGAGAGAGAGAGUGAAAGGCAACACAUUAUGUGCUUUAUUUUCUUUAAAAAUGAUUGAUAGUUGGUAUUUGAAAUUUCAAAUUCGAAGUCUAGUUAUUUUAUAUUUUAGUGAUAUUUAUUGUUAAUAAGAGAAAGAUUAAUAGGCGGAGGCGAGUGAAAUGGUUUUGACCAGGCUGGGCCAGAUUUUGGGUGGAAAAGUUUUUGUGCAGAACUAGCGUGGAAACAUCUUUUAGAUCUGACCCUGUUGCAAAUUGAUUGGGUUAGAUCCGGAUCAGAUAAUAAAAUUCUCAAGCCAACACCAAAGAAAAGAAGAAGUCAGGCCCACUCCAAUCUUCUCAGGACUCGGAUUUUCAGGCCCGGCCCUGCCCAACAAACCGGGUUCGAAUCUAACAUGGCUCACAUAAAACUGUGCGGGUCAAACACUAUGCCCGGAAUCAUAUAGAUAGCUGCUACUAUACAAAGACGAAUCAAACGUAUGUUAUUAAUUGUAGUUAAUGAGAUACAAAAACACGUGUUAAGUAAAUAUUAUUCCAAUAAACUUCCACUAUUGUUUUUUUUUUUUUUUUUUUGAGAGAGAAAGAGAGCGCGCUACCCGCUUCAUAUUCAGUAAAAAAGUAAAUUAAGCAGUUAUGGCAGACCAGUAUCACUCAAAUAUUACGCCGUUGGUUGGUAUCCUUCUUACCAAACAAUGGAUACACGUGGGUAUUAAAGAAAAAUAAAAAAAAAAUUCUAAAAUUGGGUCGUGGUUCUCCAGAGCUAGGUGUGGUAGUACACAGGAGCUACCCAAAGUAGGCCGUGGGCCGUGGUACUUGGGCCGGCGCGCUGUCGCUGUCGCUGGUGGCCCGUCGAGGGUACGCACGGGCGGAAUAGAGAAAGGAGGGAUGAGCGGAAUCGGAGGCCCGUAGGCCGAAACGUGGGGGGGGGGACCGAGCUCAUGAGUCAUGAUGCUCUCCCCCAACUCCGCUCGCACUCCGCAAGGGUUCGACACGCGCCCUCCCUUCACGUGGCGCGUAUGACGUCCAUGUACUCCCCCUCUUCUGGUUCCUCUGUGAUUCCUCAUACGACAACUCAUCGACCUCUGCGCGCGGAUGUGGACAUAUGUGUUACUGUGUACGCACUUCGAUCGCCUCUGUCGAAAGAGAUACAAAUCUUUUUUUCUUAAUUUAUUAUGAAAGGAAAAUGUUUCGAUUGGCUAUAGUGCAUAAUAUAAUGAGAUAUAUAUAUUACUUGUACAUAUUCUCGAAGGCCCCGUUUAAUUGGGAGGAUAAGCGGAGAUAACAAAAGUUAUUUCCGCUAUUCCGCCAAACGGAAUGAAAACUGGCCGGAAUAUUUUAUCCCGAUCAAACCUUGCUAUUUCCGGUUAUCCCGGAAUAGCAAGAAAUUUGUUAUUCCACCAUUUUGGUAGAAUAGCGCUAUUCCAAUGCUUUAUUUCAAACUUAAUUAAAAUUAUAAAUUGAAUUAAAACUAAAGUAUAUAAAUAUAAUAUAUUAUAUAUUAUAAUACAUUAUUUUUAUUAUAAAAUUAUUAAUUAUACUAUAUUAAUACAUAUUAUUUAUAUUUAAAUAUUAUAAUAAAAUUUAUAAUAAAUUAUAUUUAAGUAUUAUAAUAAAUUCUUUUUAUUAAAUUUAAGUUUAAGUAGAAUUUUUNGCAAACGGGCUUCAUUACCAUCCAUUUGUUUUCGAUGAUAGAGCAUUCAAAUUGACGAUCGGUACCGUUGAAAACGAUCUAUACCACUUCAAGUAUCUAGAAAUUAAAUUUCAUGCUUUUCCGAUAUUGUUCUCUUGUUCAUCAAGUGGGCAUAAAAAUGAACGGCUGAAAAUGAAUAUUUUUUAAAAAGUGAUGAUAGAAAUUUUGUAAUCAAGAUCGAGAGUAUAGAUCUUGUUCUAAAUAGUUUAAAAAAUUUUAUAACCAAAAUUCAAUUGAUUUGAAUAGCUUUACACUGUUAAACGAGAAAACGCCUCAUAUCGACCAUUAAAAUUACAAAUUUUGAAACCUUUUGAUCAUUAUGUCAAUGAUGUUCAAAAGAUUUGAAAUUUGAUUUCUAAAUACUUCAAGUGAUAUAGAUCAUGUUCAAUGGUGCCGAUCGUCGAUUUGAAAACUCCAAUAUCGAAAAUAAAUGGGUGGCAACGGAGCCCGUUUGCUACUGAUAGUAUUCCAACUCAACUAUAUAUAUAUAUAUAUAUAUAUAUAUAUAUAUACAAACACUUUAGGGUAUAUAUGCAGGAUUGCUUAUUCAACGAAGAUUUUUUUUUUGUCUCACUUUGCGAAAGUAAGCAAUUUUGCUUUAUUUUUACAUUAUUUUUUUUUUCUUUUUGUAGAUUUCUUCUAAAAAUGUAUGAUAAUCAGACAUUAGAAAUAUUGCUUGUACGUCCGCAAUUAGGGUGCAAAUCUUACCCUACUCAUCCAAGGGUGCAAACACUACUUUUAGAUUUUUAAUAUAAAAAAAAGAUUAACAAGACUAUUGUAAAAAUAUUAACUCCCAAAUAAAUAAAGUAUAAAUUUUACAUCCACUUUUUAGAUUCUUUAGACAUUGUGAGAAAGCGCCCAUUCAGCAAUAGCCUAAAAUGAGAUUGGCGCACGAGUGUAAUACAACGGGCGCUUGUCGAGUUAGCAAGACAUAAUAAGUCUAAAAUGUUGUCUUUUGUGCUAUUUAAAAAACAUGAACAUUAUAAAAAAUUGACAUAUGAAUAGAUCCUCAUUUAAUUGCCUAAUUUCCAGCUGAGCCAAUCUUUCUCUGGCACCUGGAUGUAAUUGACCGAGCAUCCAAUGUCAGAAUUAUCCAGUGAUAUCCUAUUGAGUGAUUGAGUGUCAAGAUUUUUUAUAACAAUUAAAAGUUAGGAGUAUGAUCAGACGUAUAAAAUAGAAUAGCAUAUUCGACCUUCAAAUCAUAUUUUCGGAAUAACAUAAUUAAUCUUGUAAGUAACAUUUGAUACCCCAUACCGACCGUUCCUAUAGUAAGUGGCAAAGGACUUGGUGGUUGGUACCCGAGACCCAAGUUUGAAUCCUAGUUGAUUCAUAUUUCUAGCUAAGUUUAUUUCUAAAUGAAAUAAACGAAGCGGGUAACGUGCUACCUAUCUCUCUAAAAAAAAAAAAAAAAAAACAUUUGAUACCCCACCACAUCAUGAAGACUAAGACUUUAUAGGGAACAAAAAUCAAACUCUUACUUUGUAAUUAUAUAAGAAAUUUUUUAUACCAAAUAAAUUAUCAUUGAUUUAUUCCGAUACAAGUUUUUCUUUUGUUUUUUGUGAGGAAGACAGCAUACUAUCUGCUUCGUUUAAUGUACAGUAAUUGACAAGCUACCCAGCCUAUUUCUUAAAUUCUUAGUCUCGCAUAUUUCCAAGAUACUAGAUUUGUAACUCAUUGGCUAAUUUUCAAGAAAGAUUUUCUCUCUUAUAUAUUUGGAAACUUAUUAGCCAAUGAUUUGAGUGAUUUGGGAGGAGUUCUAUAUAUAGUACGACGAAAUCAAACAAUUUGUGCUCCUUGAUUCUGGUUUAGUAAAAUCUGCCUAUCAAGCUAAUUACAAGGAUAGCCUCUGCCUAUCAAACUAAUUACAAGGAUAGCCGUUAAAUGCCAUAAAAUAAAUCCUGAACACGAAAUUUUUUUUUUUUUUUUAGAUAGAUAGGUAGUACGCUAUUUGUUUCGUUUAUUUCAUUUAAAAAUAAACUUAGCUAAAAAUAUGAAUCAACUAGGAUUCAAACUUGAGACCUAGGUACCAACCACCAAACCCUUUGCCAUUUGCUCUAGAAACGGUUAAUUUGAGCAUGAAAAGUUAAUAAUGACAAAUGAGAGUAAAAAUGAUCAUAUUUAACCAAUCAUAGUUCUUGGGGGAGAUUUUUUUUACAAAAAAAAUCCAGAGAUUCGAUAAGCUUGAAACCUUUGAAUUAUAAAUCAAUUAAACUUUAUCUUGAUUUCCUACCAAAGUAGGCACUUGUGAUUCUCAUGCUGUAAGAGGAAAUUGACGUUGUUAUCGUCUCAUUCUAUCCAAUCAGAACAAGUUCCAAAUGAUGGGAAAAGAGAAGUCAUUUGCGCCCAACGGGAAUCGAUGCUACAACUAUUAGCAAAUAAAUUACCAAGGAAGAUUCUUCAGGUACCUAGCAGUGUAUUUUUAUAUAUUGUUGUUGGCCCUAUUAAAUAUAUUGCAACUUUGAGCUGCUUAAUUAUACGAAAUAAUUAAAUACGUUUCAAAUCAAGCACAAAAGCGCAUGCAAUAAUAUAUAAGGACGAUAUGUUAAGAGUAUAUAAUAAUUUUCUUAGUUAAAAAGAAAAAUGCUUUGAAUUCUUUAUAUUUAGUUUUAUAUAUAUUACUACUGUGUUCGUAAAUCUAAGGAUGCACACAUUAAUUAGAAAAUUUACAACUUAUAAUAAUAUAUUAACAAUGCAUAAGAAGUACCUAUGGUGGUGCUCAAUAAACAAUUAAACGUAGUGGAGGUGGAGAGUUGCAGCAUUUGCCCACACGAGGACAAGGUCGAGAAUCGAGAUUGAGAGAUCGAAAGAAUCGAGAGAUCGAGAUCGAGAGAACGAGAGAAUCGAGGGAAACACAUAGCGAACAGUGUAAAACAGUUAGAAGCCCUGUGAGUGCUUCGGAAAUCAAGCACCACGAUAUCUAAUCAUAAGAUACCGAAGAGAUUGUACACAAGGAAAAGUAGCAUAUCCCAGUCAAAAUCAAGGACCGGGAAACAGUAAAGUAAAGAAUACAUUUGACACGGGGUGGAUCGCAUGUUUCUCUGUCUCCCUCCCGGCUUUGCGAUCGACGCGUCCCCUUUCCCAAAAGAACAAAAAAAGAAAAAGAAGAAGAAGUACGUACGCUUCUCCACACAAUACAUGCUAAUUCAACCCGCACACUGCUCAACAUUACUACACUUACACAAUGCAUGUUAACCAACUUUGAGUUCUAGGUAGAGUACACUAGCUUAUACAAUGCACGCUAGCCAUCUUAAUUUCAGUUAUAUAUAGGCAUGGAGAGACAGGGUGACAACAAAGGCCUUCAUGAGCUUGUAAUUUUAUUUUGCGUGAUAUCAUAUGCGGUUGUAGUUGAAGGAUGGUGAUGUAGGAGAAGAAUGGAAAGAGCGGUUUUAACGGCGGCGGGCGGCAGUCUCCCUCUGAGCGUUGAAGUAGACGGCAGCCACGGGGAGGCCGAGGUCGUUCUCCUCCGCAAAUUGACGGGUGCUGAAGUGAUCCCUGGAGGGAGGAGGGCUGACGGCCUGCCGCCGCUUCUGCUUGAAGAGGACGAAGAUGAACCUGUGGAUGCCUAUGUUGGGCCUUGGGCUCUCAUAGCUCACGAUCUCCCUCCCUGUGUACAGUACGUAGUACCAUUAAUUAAUUAAGCAUAUAUACCAAACUAUAGUUGCUUUUCGUCUUCCUCUAGUUUGGGAAAUAUGUGGCAUUAUUAAUUCUUAACAGGAAACUAGAGAUAAACACACAAGAGUGGAGAGAUGACCCACCAAAAGAAGCGUCAGUUGUGCCAGGAAUGUCGGUUACAAUCCUGUGCAAGGGUCAAGGGGAAUGGUUAAACACGUUGCCAUUGCCUUGAAAAGCAGAUAACUUUUCUUCAGUAUUCUUGAAAAGUUGAACUAUACCCAUGUUACAUGUUUGGAGGGUUUACAAAUUAAAGGCAAGUAGACAACACAACAUCAAUCUACGUGCAUUCAUGCAUGCAUAAUAAUUAAGAUACAUCUUUAAUUAAUACGUUUCUUCAUAUACCACACACAUAUUAAUAGAGGAUAUAUAUAUAGGGAACGGUUUAUAUUAGUUGUUAGGGUUUACCAGUGCAGGUGCUCCCUUAGGUAUGGAUCACUCGGACCCGGCACAUCUGGGUCUGUCAUAACCUGACAAGAAUGAAAAUAGAAGUAAAAAUACUAUAGAAGAGCACACACGUAUAUAUAAGAGAAAUUUUACUGGGAUCCUUAAACUUGAAAUUGAGAACUAAUAACUAUAUAUGUACAUGAUCGAUAUAGGCACGUACCAGUGUGAAGAACGAUCUCAUGUCUCCGCCUUGGACCUCAACUCUAGGUUUGGAUGCGACUGCGGAAGGGUAGAACUCAUGGCCAUUGAAGACCAGCUUGUUGGAAUUGUAGGUGACCACCAUCUUCAUGCUCGGCUCAAACGAGUCCAACACUUCUCCUAUCACCCUCCCAACAAUAAGAGGCUCCAGCAAUCUCGACAUGGUCGAUCGGUUAAUUCAGUCGUUCAAAGGUGAGAAAUAUAUAUAAACUAAUUAACAAGCUAUGUAUAUAUAUAUAUAUACAUAUAUAUGUAUAUGUAGGGUUGUGGAGGAAGUGGCUCGGUCGUUGCUAGUGGAUUGAGGAGGCUGUUUGCCUUUGAGAAGAAGGCUUCUUAUUGGGCAAUAUGAAAGUGCAAAGCCUCUAUUUAUAGCACUUAAGACAAGUACUGCUGUACAUCAAGUUCCAAGCUCAAAAGAGAACUGCGAAGCAGGAGCCACAAGUGUAGCAUUUUUAAUUAUAAUGGAAUAUAGAAGCUAAAAAGCAACAGGAUGAAUCUAUCUCGAUCCUACUGUUCGUUGAUAAACAAAAGAGGUCCCUUAAACCUGUUUUAUCUUCUACAAUGAACAGCUAAGUAAUCAAUUGCAUGCGCUCUUUCAAAAAAGAACUGCAUGCAUGUAGUAGCUAGCUCUUAAUUUCAGAAAGAACCUUUGUCUACUCCACUAAAAUGAUUAUCUACACUAGAUAAUAAACGCCGUUUAAUCAUGUAUUGAUUAGGUACAUUGUUAAGCUACCUAAUUAAUUAAAGUACGUUCGAGAUCUUUCAAUUAGUACUCAAAAUCGUGCCUAAAUGACUCGAAGGAUCAACUAAUUAUUAAUUCACACAUCUCGACGUGACAGGUAAUUAAGCAAAUUAAUUUAAUUAAUUAAUGAGGAAUAGCCGGAAAAGUAAAGUUCUUAACAUGAUAAUAAGUGCUUUCAGACUGAAACCGUAAAUUCUGCUUGAUUAAAAAGCCGCAAAAGAAUUUGAAAUUGGAGAUGGUUAAUUCGUUUAUUCUACUACUAACUUUUCUUACCAUUGGCCCAUAUUAAUUUGACGAGGGAACAGGUAAUGUGAACUCUCCAUAUGGAACCUUCCUAAUUAACAUCCAUUUAAUAUAUUGUUAAUUAGGAAAAGGAGGAUUCAAUAGCUGGAGCCUGUGAACAUGUAGAGCAAGCACCACACUGGAAGUAGCUGUUGCACUCUUUUUUUGUUAAGGUAAAAAAAGGUGAGUAGCUGAGUUGGGUGCUAUAGGAACCUUCCCAAACAGCACUGCACCCAAAUGACUUACCAUUAGUGGUUAUUAUUCUCUGAGAGAGGGGGAGGAGGAGGAGGGGAGAGCAUAAAAGGGAGACCCACCACCCCACAUAGUGAUAGUGGCCAUAGUGUUGAGAUGUCAUUUCAAAGUAAAGAGAUCCAUGUGUUCUUGAUAAGGAAAACAAAGGGGUUUAGUUUCUAUAAAUGGUGGAGCUAGCAAAGUACUUCUUUGUGGCAUUCCUCCACUCUGGAACAAAGAUUUUUCUUAUGUGUUACCAUGCACCAUGCACCUAUCUCAAGCAACACCCACCCAUAUUCUACCUGUUUCGGUGUCAAACUAUUAAUUUACUGUUUCAUAUUCAAACCACCCAAUAGAAACAGUUUUGGGUCUACCGGUGACUCUGGUCUCACAAGAUUAUUCUUUUAUUCCGGUGGCGACAUCCGGUGCUCGUGGGUACAAGGAAAGGGAAAGUCACUGUGGUGUGAAGGUGUCCGUGACGACAGGGGUAAAUGGUAGGUUUCCGUAGAAUAUAGGAAAAGAAAAAGUUUUUUUUUUGUGUGUUUUUUAUUACGUUGGAAUCUGUAAUGAGAUACGUGGGUUUUUCCCGUGAAAACCACGUACCCCUGAUUUUUUUUUUUCUACCCCUCCACUCUAUUCCGAGUUUCCUUUUCCCCCUCCAUUAAUUCCUCACAACGCACACAAGUACCCAACCUAAGGACAACUUAGGCAUUCUAAACAUCUCACAUAAACAAUCGAGCAGUAGGUUUCUAUUCCAUUACCUAGGCCAAAACCUAUCUAUCAAUGUAAGACAUUGUUUUUAAAGUCUAAAAAACAAAUACGAGUAAUUGAUAAGAUAAGACCUAUUGACAUCGGCUUUCAUUUUUAUAUUCGAUCUAGUUUUUUUUGAAUCCUACGAAAACAGAUCAGUAUCGCGCACCGACUACUUAUUUUUUUGUCGAUAGAAUUAUGUAUGGCUGGCAAAGAUCUCGUUCACCGUUCUUUAAACCACCAACUAUGAGCUCUAGGGUUCAAGCUUAGGAUCAACUAAGUAUAAAAGUCGAUUCAAAUAAAGAUUUACUUUAUUUGUUUCGUCGAUCGUACGAUAGAUAGAGAGUUUUUUUUUUUGUUCCCUUUAGUUCCUGAUUUAACAAUGUUAACUUUGGGCCAACCGCGUUAAUUUUAUACUCCAACCUAACCUCCUUAAAUCCUGAUUCGACAAGGGGUCACAAUUAACCAGGCAAUUACUAGUUUGUUGGAGUAUUACCUUUUUUGUUACCCGGGGUUUUUCAUAGAUCCGAGUACUCUGUUUCGGUACAACCCUUGAACACCUAAGCGUAUCACUCUAGGAAACUCUAGGUGUUGGUAAGUUAUGAGUGAAACAAAGGUGAAAUUAAAGAAGCGUUUUACUAUAUAGUUUUUAAUUAAUUGGAUGGUUGGCAGGGAUAGUAUUUACUGUUUCCCGAACCACUAACUAUAGUCUCUGGGAUUUAAGCCUAAAAUUAAUUAAGUAUAAAAAUCGAUUUAAAUAAAAAUUUAUUUUAUUUAUUUCACCCAUAUUACGAUAGAUAGAGAAUUUUUUAAAAAAUUAAUGUACCAUGACGAGUUGAAGCUAGCUUUUCAUAAUUACAUUAAUAUACGAGUCGCAGCUAGAUUUUCAUAAUUACAUUAACAUCCGGGUGACAUUGACGACAGUAAGAGUUUAGCAAUACGUUGUGUUUCCUAAUAGUGACUAAAAAGUAAACGCACUUCUUGAAGUCUUUAAGAUAGUCGGAUAAGUUAGCUUAUCUUAAUAUUAAAUCUCUUUUUUUUUUUCUUUUCACAUCGGUUAACUCGCUCCGUAUUUUAAUUCCGCCGUAUUCUCUCUCUCUUUUCACUUUAAUUUNAUGGGCGGAGGAUCUCCUCUCUCGACUCUCUCUCUCUCUCUCUCUCUCUUUAAAAAAUUAUUAAUUUACCAAUGAAUUUCGUUGCUUUACGCAUAACUGUAUACUAAUAAGAACGAGGAUAAAUCUGAUUGCCGCAGGAGAAGAUAAGCAACUUGAGCUACAUUUGAUAAAGACCCAGCAUCAGUAUAUUGGUCCCCUUUUUUUUGUUGUAAUAUGAAGUUAUUUUUAACAUAUAUGUAACUAUCGGUAAAGAGAUAUAGUUGUUACUUGAAGUUAUAAAGAUAUUACACUUUAAGCAAUUAAAUUAAAUUUUGUAUUUUAUCAAAAAAAUUAUUUUUUUUGUUUGAGAGAUAGGUAGCACGCUACCUGCUUCGUUUAUUUCAUUUUUAGAAAUAAACUUAGCUGAAAAUGUGAAUCAACUAGGAUUCGAACUUGGGUCUUAUGUACCAACCACCAAGCCCUUUGCCACUUGCUCUAGGGACGGUCGGUUUUGUUCCCUAAAUUUUAAUCUGACAAAUCAGUCUAUGGAGAGGUGGUAAAUAACGAUUUUUUUGGAUGAAAUAAAGUUAUAUAUGAAGCUGUACAAAUUCAAGUAUCUAAAUUAUAUAAAUAAUUAACUAUGUAAAAAAAAUUAAGGUCAAAUUUCAGAAACUAAGAUUGUAAUUAAUCCUAAAAACCAGGGUAUGGUACUAAUAUGAUUGUGAAUGAUCACUGUACCACAAGCUGAUCCAAUUAGGAGGAUUAUUGAACGACCAACGUGACACAGAAUCAAAUCUAUAAUAUCCAACAGAUUACUAUAUUUGUCGAGGAAAAAUCCAUUUAUCUGAUGGUGAUGCCCCAAUAACAGUAAAAAUAGAUCUCUCUUUAUGUGACAGGUAGACUAGAGGAUCGAGCUGGCUGAAUGGUUCCAUCACGUAUUGGCCUCACUCAGAAAAAAAGGUCUUUAUUGUUUUUUGGCGAAAUAAAGUUUUUUUAAUGUUUUAAAACUCGAAACACCCAUUACGAACAGUAAAAAUGCCAGAUCACAGUUUAACUGGUUUAAUGAGUGGUUCAACCGGCUGAAUUAGUGACGAGAGCAUAAUGUCAUAAUCAAGUUAAAAAUAGUAAUAUAUAUAUAUAUAAAUUUUAUAAACUUUUUUCUUUAAAAAAAGCUAAACAAACGGAUCAAACCGUCCAAUCAAUAAUGUAUGAUAAGUGAUAAGUGAUAAGUGAUAGUACGGACUAGUUUAAUUUAAAUUAGGCCAAAUCAUUGGUUCACUAGUUUGUAGGUUGAACCACCGGUUCAACACGGGUUUUAAACUUUUCUGGCUUUAUGGGUCGAAUUGAACUGAUCUAGAGACUUGGGCACAGUCCGACCGGUUCGACCAGGCAGUUUGUAGGUUGAACCACCGGUUCAACACGGGUUUUAAACUUUUAUGGCUUUAUGGGUCGAAUUGAACUGAUCUAGAGACUUGGGCACAGUCCGACCGGUUCGACCAGGCAGUUUGUUCCGAUUCUUAAAACAACUAGAUGUUUUUAGAUGGGAGGUUUUGAACAGUAACACAAAAGUAAGAUUAUAUCCUAGUUGGCUUUUUGGUGGGAUACAGGCUAUGAACUCUAGCUUUGCUUUGAUUUGGCGUGUGAGUAAACAAAGUUUAGUUUCAAAAAAAAAAAAAAGAAGGUAAAAGCAAAAACGACAAAGGAAAUUUUAUGAGCCGAUCAAAGCAAUUGGUAUAGUUCAAAAGCCCUAUGCAUAAUAUCAGGAUUAUUAGUUAGAUUUUAGCUUUGGGACGGGCUAAUUAGCUUGAGCUUUAGGUUGAGCACCGUCAAAACACUUUUUUUUCUUUUUUUUUUCUUUUUUUUUGAGAUAGGUAGCACGUUACCCGCUUCAUUUAUUUCAUUAUAAAAAACCUUAGCUGGAAUGUAAAUCAACUAUGAUUCGAACUUGAAUCUCGGAUACCAACUAUCAAGUUUUUUGCCACUUGCUCUAGAAACGGUCGGUAGUACUGUCAAAACACUACUAACAAGAUUUUGUGGGAAGGCAAGAAGCAUUGAUUCUGAAACAUAACUAAAAGCUGCUGCUCGAGCAUUGCUUUCGCGCAGCCGGGGCUUGUAUAUAUGCAGGUUCGAUGUUUCUGGACAUUGACAUGCAAUUAUCGUUCUUGAUCGACAUGGUGCACAAUUGCCUUUUGAGUAAAGUUAUUCUUAAAAGCGACGCGGAUGUUUUAUAUUGAAAAUUUUCCUUAAAGAUCUCAUCCAUAGCUAAAGCAAAUACUUUAAAUUAGAGUUUAUAAUCUUAAACCACAAAAGUAUGUUUUUACAAAAAAAAUAAAAAUAAAAAUAACACUUUCUAUUGAUCUUGUGCAUGGUGUCGGACUCGUUCUGCUGCUACUUGUUAGCUCUUGAUUUUCUAGCGGGCACUGACAAGAAGAACCAUAAUAUAUAAACUGAAGUAAAUUGUUCUGAUAUCUAUAGUAGUCCUUUAAUGGCACUUUAUUUCUGAUGCUACUUCGAUAUUAGUAAUUUUUUAUUUAUGAUGAUAUAUUAAAGUGAACUGAUAUUGGUAGAUAUAAUAUGCAUAUGCCUGACAAUAGUAGUAAAUAUUAUUUUGACAAUUUUCAAUUCCCUAUUAUAUUAAAAGGGUUGGGCACUAUUUCCCCCCCCCCUUUUUUUAAUGCAAUAAGUCAGUGAUACAGUGUCCGACCCAGCAGAUAAAAGGUGGCUUGGAUUGUUAGUUGGGCUUUAAAAAAGGUAGGCUUGGGGCUCGGCCAAUCCCAGGUUUGGGCCCAUGCAUCAACAAAAGACGAUGGCCUAUGAAUGAGAAAUUAUCGCGAUGCACUUGUACAGCUUCUACACUGCAGAUUAUUCCAUCCGUCGCACCUAGUCAAUGGCCACUCCCAAAAUGCUGUAGCUUUUGAAGGGGUUAAAGCUUUGAUGCUUAAUUAAUUGAUAGUUAGUUUGGUUUGGUUCGGUUCACGGGAUAUGUACAAAUGCACCCGGUUCACACAAUAGCUUCUUUGUAAAGUGCAAGCCCGGCCCAUCAAAGGAGAUGGCCCAAAGAUGCUUUAGCGAAGCCCACAUUCUUUACUCGUGGAGCCUGAGCGCAAGGGCUUAACGAUCGGGUGCGAAAUUAGGGUUUAUCUCAGGCGGGAACUUCGCCGCUUGGGAGCGAAGAAAUCUAGUUGAAAGGUCCACCUUUAGACUAGCAGUAGGGUUUAGGGUUUUGCAGAGUGGUGCAUAUCGCCCUCUUCAUCUCCUCCCUUGUUCGCUUCGAUCUCCAUGCUCUGCUCUCUUCGCCACUCGAUUGGUAUUUGGCGGCGAUCGACAAAUCCUGCUUGUGAGUUUCUCAUCUCAUCCUAUUUGAGCACCAUCUUAGCUUUGAAUUCACCCGAAGAAGUGCCCAAUUAUGAACCAGAACCCGCUUGCGCACUCCACGAUCAAAGCUUCUAUCAAAACCCUCAGCGAUUUCUCGGAAAAAACCUUGCUUUGGGGCGCCAUGAGAGUUUGGAGCCUACCCUAAUCGGGCUCCGAAAACAGAUGCAGGAAUGCGCAAAAGGUGGGGACUUGGUGGGAGCUUUUAAUGCUAUGAGGUACAUGGAACCCACUGUUCUCGAUUACAAUGCCCUGCUUUACCGUUAUCUCAAAUCGGAUAAUGUUUCGGGGGGUGAAUUGGUGAGGAUUUUUGAAAGAAUGAAGAGAUUCGGGCCGUAUCCGAAUGUUUGGACUUUCAAUGUGCUCUCUAAUGGAUUUUGUCGAUUGGGGUUAUUGGAAGAUGCUGUAAAUAUGCUCGAGGAAAUGUCUAGCUAUGGAUUCGUUCCUUCUUUUACAUCGCUGAAGAUAUUGUUGAAUAAGUCAUUAAGUUCAGGGAGUUAUGGAUUUUCUUGCAAAGUAUUAAGUUUGAUGUUACACUUGGAUUAUCCGCUAAGCUUGCAAGUUUUGAACAGGCUUAUAUAUAGUCUCAUCAAAGUUGGCAGAGUUAGUCUGGCUUAUGACAUUUUCUCAAUGCUUUUGAAUAAGGGUUUUAAGCCCAAUGUGUAUACUUAUAAUCCUAUUCUUCUUGGCUUAUGCAAGUGCGGUCAGAGCUGCACUGCGUUAUCUCUUUUCUUUGCCUUGAGGAAGAAAGGAUUUUGCCAUAAUCUUUAUUCUUAUACAGCGUUAGUUCUUGGGUUCUGUAAGGAAGGACUUUUGAAAGAGGCUUAUCAAAUUUUGGAGCAAAUGCGGAACGAAGGAUUGAAGCCUUCUGUUGUUACAUACACUAUAUACAUCAAGUUUCUUUGUAAGUAUAAUAAGAUCGACGAAGCCCUGGAUAUUUUUCAUACACUGGGAAAAGAAAACAAACAUGCAGAUCUGGUCUUGUAUAAUGUACUUCUCCAUGCUCUUUGUUAUCAUAACAGGAUGUCAGAAGCCCGUAAAUUGGUCCAUUGCAUGGAAGAGAACGGUUUGCUUCCUGAUCGUUUCACAUAUUGUGCUUUAGCUGGAGGUUUAUUGAGAUCUGGGUAUGUUAAGAGGUGCCAAACUCUUUUAUGUAGAAUCCUUUCAAGCACCAGUUUUGCGGAUGUUGUCACUUGGAACAUAUACUUCCACAGCUUAUGCUGUGAUGGCAAAGCUAGAGAGGCAUUAGCUACUGUAAAUUCCUUGGUAGAGAAAGGAUUCACCCCCUCAGUUGUGACAUAUAACACCAUUUUGAAAGGGUUUGUUAGGGAGCAGAACAUUGACGAGGCCUUAGAGAAGUUAGACCAGUUUCAUUGCGAUGAAGUUGGACCCGACUUGAUUUCCUUCAAUACGAUAUUGUCUGCAGCGUGCAAGCAGGGAGACUCUUCUAUUAUCCGGAGGGUUCUCGAUCGUAUGGACAUUGAAGGAGUCAAGCUUGACGCUGUUAGCAUGACGUGUUUAAUUCGGUAUUUUUGUAAUUCCGGGAAGUUUAUUGAGAGCUUUAAGCUUCUGAAACAUAUGAUAUGUAAUGGUCACAAGCCUACCACAUUAACCUAUAACGUUCUUCUUGACUGCCUUUGCAAGAAAGGGUUGGUUAUAAAUGAAUAUAAAUUAUUGCACAACUUCAGAUACAUGGGAAUUGAUCCAGAUACUACUUCCUAUAAUAUUCUUAUACAUGCUUCAAUUAAGAAAGCUGAUUAUUUUACAGCUGAGCGCUUGUUAAAGGAAAUGUACAGCCAAGGAGUGAUGCCUGAUGCUGUCACUUAUGCAUCUCUAAGCUAUGGUUUUUGCAAAGAGGGGAAUAUAGCUGCUGCCUUGAGUUUGGAGCACCAGAUGUUGGAGAAUGGAGUGAAACCAAGUGUCUCGUAUUACAAUACAAUAAUGGAUGCUAUGUUUAGAAUGGGCAGGCUGUGGGAUGUCUUCUUACUUCUCAGCAAAAUGGAAAUAGAAGGAAUCCAGCCAGAUAGCAUUUCCUUAAAGAUUUUGAAUCGUGCAAGUGCCAAAGGUCGAAAGAAACAGUUUCCAAAUGCCAUGAAGGUUCUUGAAAUACUAAUGAAGACAGCCAGUAAUUCGUCUGGAUUGGAAGCAAAUUGAACCACUCGGCUUCUAAUGAACUAUUUGCUCAUGGUUGAUCCCAGACUCGGUGCUGUAUUUAACUCAGGAGGUAUGCUUGUUAUUUUUCAUCAAUGAGGUACUCAUCUGGUUUCAGGUAAAAGUAAAACUUUUUUUUUAAAAAAAAUUCCUUUAGUUGGUCACAAGAAUGAGCUACUGAUCUACAUUGAUGAUGCUUGAGGAGGAACCUAAAAGAUAAAGGGAAAUCCUGUUUUUGGCCAAGGUCAGUUGGAUUCACUUUCUGCUGUAUUUCAUUUUCAGUUCAACUUUAGAUAAGUAAAUUAUGCCUAUGCAGCACUCUUUCAUAUAUAAAACUAAAAUAGGGGAAUCAUUUGAAAGUUGCACGCUAGCUUUCAUUGGUAUGGACCAAUGAUUUGAUGUUGAUUAAAUGAGAGCUACCGAGAGCUUUAGUUACUCUUUUUCCCAUUCUCUGGCUAUUUGUUAACAAAACAAUCUGAAGAGAAGAGUACACAAGGAUCUAUUUGAUGCUUAGGGCUUGUUUGUUUGUCCGUAAGUGAUUUUCAGAUUGAAUUUAGGUUGAAAAUCACUUCUAAUUAAACUGAAAUUCAAGUGGAAUUUUUUUUUCCACCGCUAUUUGUCUGAUAGGAAGUCAAUGGCUUUGAAACUGUAGUUAUUCCUUUUUGUUUUUUUUUUUCCUUUUUUGUUUUACUGAAAAUUUUCACACUAGUGAAUUAGAGGGCAAAAAAAGUUACAACAUUUGAUUUUUUACUAUUUUUUCUGGUCUCUCUCUCGUAAUUGACUUCAGCACCCCUCAUAACGAAUUUAGUUACGAUAUUUUGGGAAAGUAGAGUCACCGGUAAAUUUAAUUUAGGCCAAACCAAACAACAAAAGUGAGUAUUAAUAAUUUCCUCUACUUUCAGUAGAACAGGCAUGCCCUUAGUAACUUAUUCGACUAUCACUCUAGCAUGAUUUUGCAACUUUUUUGUGCAGUACUACAGAUUAAAAAGAGCAUCCGUGAAAAGAAAAGGAAAAAAGAGCAUCCGUGGAAAUUAUCUUGUUAUCAAUCUUUUUCGUGCUUUGAUUUGAAAUUGUGAGCUUUCACAAUGUUCACAGGAUGUCAAGAUUAUACUCUUUUGGCUUCGCUGGCUUGGCCAGACCUCGUACUUGAAUAGCUCUGUAUGUUGGGUUACCCGGAACAUAUCGAGUGUCAGAGAUUUGGUGCCAACCUUUAUACGGUGAAUAUUACCAGCUUCUUGUGGCUUUGAAGCUUGCUCUUCAGGUCAGUAUGUCUUUUAAUUAUGUGAAAAAUGAUAAAUGCUGCCAUAUUUUUCUUUUCUUUCCUGAGUACUGUUGUUGGAAUAAUUUUUAAAAAAUAUAUUGGAAUUUCAAUCAGGUCAGAUAUCUUGAAGCUCAUGUAAGAUGGCUGAACCUUACUUCUCCAGAUCAAAUUGCUUUGGAUGAGAAAGAUUCAGAUGCUUGUGCUGCUCUCAGAAGAGCGGUAAUAUGCGACAGUAAGAAUGAAAGUAAGACAAUGUAUGCACCAAGGUCGCUCGAUACAAAAGUUCCCCUCUGUGCAACAGAGGAUAAUUGAAGCGGAGGAAAAUGAGGAUGAGAAGGGCGAGUGUUUUUCCGAGAACCAAAUAGCAUUUUACUUAUGAGAGAGCUGAAAGAGAAAGACGAAGCGAAUGCUUCACCUCGGUUGAAGAUGGUAAGCAUGCAUCCUUUACCAAAAGUCUCAAAGCAAGAAAAUAAAUGCCUAGAUAUACAGACUCCCUUUCUCAAGGGAGUAAAAACAACCUAGCAAGUCAUCUUGUCUCGUCGUGCCCUAGUGAUGGUGGGUUGGUAUUUUCUCUACUCUGAUGCCGUGUUCUUUAAUUUUGCUAGUCAAACUGAAAAUAAUUUGUAAAUUUUCUGCGUAUGUUCCUCCCCCUCGACCGUGAUAGACCGUCACAUGUAACUAGGCAACGAUCUCAAAGGAUGCCAAUAAAAUGGACCGUGAAAAUAGUCCCUAUUUGGAUGGAAAAAAGUGAUAGCUAGGUGGAAGCAAAUCCAAGAUCGGAGUCGAUGCGUUGUGAUGCAUAGUCUCUCAGUGGAGUGGGGGUAUUUGCGUUGUGUGUUUGUUGCUGAAGUAAUGGGAAUGCGUUACCUACCCCAUCGCACUUUGAUUAUGGGUUUUCUAUUUCUCAUUAUUUUUUGCGCUUGAAAUGUUAGAUACGAUUAGCCGAAAGAAAGAAGGUCCGCUGUGUGAAGAAUAUUUAUGUUAUCAUUCAACAAAAUGGAUUUACGGUCGCCGGGCAGUCAGAGUUGUUUUGGUAAGCUGCUGGCUGCUGCAGAAAGUUCUGCCAGCUUCCACACGAUAGACAGACGGUAGAGGAAGUACUUGUCUCUGCACUCUCCAGCCCAGGAGAUUGACAAAUUCGUGGCCUUUUUGGGCCUUCGCAUAACAGAGCACCUCAAAAUGUUACAACGAAAUGACAUCAUUUUACACCAACAAGAAAAACACCAUCGUCGUGGUAAUAGUAAUCAUCAUUUCCCGCUUGGAUCAUCAUUUCCCGCUUGGAUUGUGAAUAAUAAUAAAUCCACAAAAUUCUACGCACCUUGUCUCUCUAUUCCGAGAUGAUCUCUCCUUUGGGCCCGAAUCUCUUCUUUAGCUCACCAAGCUCCUCCGGGCUGAGCCCAAAAGCCUUCUCCAGAAGCCCAUCCUUGAUCCCGGAUCCGAACACCGUGCUCGGUAUCCUCACCACGCCCGGAUUCUCGCUGUUGAAGCUCCCGAAUAUGGUCGCCGGGUUGUCCCCGACGUUCAUCUGGAAAUGGAUCAUCCCUUUCGGGAACACCAUCACCUCCCCCUUCUCGAUCACCUUGGCGUAGACCCGGCCCACCGAGUCCACGAACCCGGCGUAGACGCGGCCCGCGAGGACCAGCGCGGUCUCGGUGGCCCGCGGGGGGCUAGGUCGGCACGUGCGAAGGACGUGCCGAGCGUGUGGAGGCCCGGGAACUGGGCCGGGCCCACGGAGAGGCCCGCGAACCCCAUCUGGUUCGAGAAGUUGCCCGGGGCCCGGAUCCCGGAGAAGACGAAGUCGCCCGCGGUGGAGUUGGCGGGGCUCUUGCACGGGUACGUGGCCAGCCGGGCGAGCUCGACCGGGCCCGAACCGGAGUCGGGGACGCAGAAGUCCUGGACCGGGUCCGAGUCCGCGGUCGACCGGGGGAGGAGGACGAGGAGGAUGAGGAAGAAGAGGGGCGCCAUGGGCUAGUGACCUCGGUGUCUCUGGAGUCUGGACCAGGGCUACUAAAGCUUUUAUUGGAAUAAGGCGUUUAUAUAAAAUACCUAUAAAGGUAUCGGGGCUCUCGUUAUAAUGUGAAAAUAAAAAUGUGCGUUGGCUUUUUGGCAGAUUAGAUAGUGGGUGGUCCCUGACUCCCUGGUUUUGUCGUCGGCUAUAGCAACGUUGAUUUUUGAUUUGUCGGGAGAGGCUUCUGUUAUACGUAAGAGGUAGGAGAGGCGAUUGUGGAGGAUAUUUCUUAGCGAAGUUUUGUAAGUAAGGUGGGUAUGGUGAUUGGGUAUAUAAGUUAUGAUUUAUUAGGAUUAUUACUGAUCUUUCCUUUAAUCAUAAGCGCGCAGCUUAAAGAGUUUCUUUUACUCCUCUCCAAUAAACAAGGGAUGGCUUGGAAAAUCCGCAUACCUUUUCAUGAUUAUGAUGAAUGAAGAAAUUUCAGAUAGUCAUAUUACCAGCUGUUUGCUGCUUUGUUUAAGUUUGGUAAGAUUCCGGAAGAGCGCACAUUCCUUGGAGAAACAAGAUUCAAACUCGGACCGUAUAGCCGUAAAAGUAGGUUGCCAAUCAAUAUGUUCUCUUAUAAAUUCUAAAUUACAAUGCCAUGAGCCUCACACAAUGUUCGUUUUACACGUAUGGAUGUGGAGCUGUUUGAGCAUGAGAAAACCACCUAUGCCAUCCCAGACAUGGUAAAGCCCACGUUUAGUCCACAGCUUGAAUAUCCUACCUGGGCCUUAAUAGCACUGCACUUUGCAACUUCAACCCUGCCUAAAAGCUGCAGUAAUUGCAAAUUAAGGUGGCACGUGGAACCAAAUAAGCCUUGAAGAAGCCAAUAAACUACACUACAGGUGGUUAUCUUUGCUAAUCUAUACAUUAUUCCUCCACGAGAGAUGCGAGAAUCAGAAGGGAUGCCAUCCUGGUGUUUCCUUCCCUGUUCUGCAAUUUAUCAGAUAUGUAUAAGAACUGGUAUCUCAUAUCUAUUUUUGAUAGGAGCUAUUUUUCAGUUCUGCCCAGUUAGAAGGCAAGAAGCAGUCACUCUUAAGCGGCAAACCUAUUAGAAAUAUUCGAGGCUUAGUUGCCUCACCUUGUAGCUCAGUUAAGUUCCUUAUUGAAUGAAGCGAUAGCAUGCUACCUUUUCUCAAAAAAAAAAAAAAAAUAUACAUAUGUCACUCUCAGAAUAUGACCAAAAAAAAAAAAAAAAAAAAAAAACCUAUCUGAAAUAGUAUGGACUUGUUUAUUCCGGACAAAACAAAAUUUGUGCAUAUCACCGCCUGAUAUCCCCGGGGUAAAGUUGGUAGCCACCUCUCAAUAUAACAUGUGCUGAAAACGGGACCGAAUAAAAUUAAGGCCCAUUGUUUAGGAGAUGUAAGAUAAACUUCUCUCUUAUUCAGCAGCAGCAGUCGAAGAUAAGGCUAUAAAACCCCGGGCUGAAGCUUCCAAGUUCACACCCAACAGAGUUUUAAGUUAGCCCAAUGGUUUGAGGUUUUAUGCAGUAACGAUUCCAGUCAACAUGCCUAAAAUAAUUACAGGAAGUUCAUGGGUACAAUAGAAGCGAACCAACACCAGCUGUGGUCCACAAUUUAGUAAGUCUCCACGAAUGUGAAGGUAUUAAUAGCUAUCUUCCUCGGUUUCGGGUCUUCGAAGGUAGUAGCGCAGACAAUUAGUCAACACCUGCAUGUUACACAAAAAGAUUAUGAGCGAAAUGUUCAUUGCUCCAAUGACCCCUCAAGAUGAGUGCAUAAUGAGAAAUUACUCGGGGGUGAAUUUUGCCUCUAUUUUUUCCCCCCUUUUACUAUUGUGGGAAGAUCAGCAAACUGUAUAUUUGUGGUCUUAUCUAUCAACUAGAAACAAAAUUGAACAAGGAAUUCUUUUUUCCUUAAUAUUCAAAAGUGACGAGUUCUGUAAACCAAACAACAUCAAGAAAAACCUACAAAAUUUCAUAUAAAAGUAUCAUAUGUUUACAUAGUUCCAACAGUUAAUUUCAGCAUUACAUAUGUUUAUAUAAUCUCUCUGGAUACUUACCUAACGGUUAGAAGAAUUACUGACUUUGCAGUAAUACUAUUCCAAGAACUUCUCAAAAAAGAAAACAUACUCUAUUGAAAGAAGGCCGAAAAGUCUCACCUGAGACAAGGAACUGUCGAUUGCUGCACCUCUGUAGCUUACGUGGAAUUUGUCCUUAGCAACCAGACCCUGUAAGAUGACAAGGAUAAGAAUACAGGAAAAAAAAAAAAAAAGCCAAUGACAGAUGCUCUUUUAAAGGGUGAAAAGAGAUGGAGCAUACUUCAGUGUCGAUCUCAGCUGAUUCAACAUCAAUAUUUAUGUCAGUUAUGAUCUUGAUGAUUUCCAGAAGUAGACCAGGUCGAUCAGCAGUCUCAAUGUAAAGCAAGCUGGAGAAUGCAGAAAAUUCUGAGGGAUAAGAAACACUUCCUUUUGGGGUGAUAAUGGAUAAAUUGAAAAUGGAAAACCGAGGGGGAAGAUUUAUCUAAUUUCCUUAUCCCAAUCAAACCGACUGUCCAAUAGACCGAACAUGUUUGCUUCAGCCAGCUCUGUUCAGUUUACUGAGGUAAUGUAAAGACCUCUAAAUCUAUACAUGCUCAUAAAUCUCUUCGAUGCAAUAACUCGUAUAGAAAUCAACAGACGAUUACUGAUCCAUCAGAGGACAACUAAAGCACCACUCAUGCACACAUCCCUACGCAUCUGUAAGUAGUCCUCCAAGAUUUGCACGUUAAAAAGAAAAUGAAUACCACCUUGAUUUAAUUAAAAAUGAUUAAAUUAGAAGCCGAUAUGGCGAUAUAUGAAUCUAGCAGUCUGGUACUGUGAUCACUUAGAAACGAUGCAGGUACGAAAUGAACUGCAAUUUCUACCAUAUUUUUUGCUUAGCGUGAAGCAGAAAAGCAGAUGAUUUGAACGAAAGAUUGUUCUCUCUACAAUAUGGCGAAAGGUCAUCAUUUUGAAAAUAUUCUAGCAAGCAGCUCAGCAUAAAAUUUUCCAAAGAAUACAAUGCCAUAUGUUAGUAUAAAAAUUUUCUUGAUAAAUACGAUGCUAAGGCAUAGUAUCAGUUACUGCACAAUCAUAUAUAUAUAGAUGCAAGAGAAUACCGGUGUUUUAAGUGACAAACCUUCUCUUUGGUCCAUCAUCUUGAAGAAGUACUUGUGUUGCAACGUCAACAUCAAGCUUCAUGUGAAGAGAUAAAGGGAUAAGGGUUCUCAGUUUAAAAUAUCAUAUAACACCACAAUAAGGAAGGCAUUAAUCUUAUUUAACAAUUGAAAUCUCAAGCUGCUAGCACAAAUGCAUCACUACAUAUAUGCCAAACAACACAUGAAAAUGCCAAGGUAAUUCAACUUUAGAGCUUGCAUGGCAAGAAUGAAAAACGUGUGGUUUAGAACAUGCUUCUAAUGAAUAUAAUAUUACCAGAAAGCCGACUCACUUGAUUGGUGAUUAAUAAAAUAAGAAAGCUUUUUACUUCAAAUUCCAUCAGAAUAUAAAAGCUGAAUUUUAAAUCACAGUGGAUAAAUCCAAGAAACAGGUGUGGAAGCCAGUAAGAAAGCUUUCCUGUCAUGUACCAACCUAAUUUCCAUGAUCAACUUCAGAUUGAACUUACACUACCAAAUAUGUGAUUCAUCGGUGGUCCCUUGUUUGCAGUGCUGAUCAAAUACUUGACGCAUGAGACAGUAUCAAAAGUCUAUCAACAGAACUCUACAGAAACUAGUGUGGCAAGCUAUUAAUAAAUAAAAUGUUGACAUUAAGACAUUUGAUAAAAUAUUUCAAAAGAAUUUUUGCAAAAUAAAUAAACAAAGAUUCCAAGAAAGCAUCCAAUUCUCAAUCCUCACAAGGAACCAACCAGCAUGAAGUAUUUGAAAUAUGUUUCUCUCAUAAAAUAUUAGAUCUAGUCACCUUCUUCUCUGGAGGUUUUAUUCCGAAAACCUCACCCAUUGCCAGCUUCUCACUGGAUUCCUACAAAUAUAUAGCUAAAUGUAGUUAGGAGAUAAAAUUCCGAAAGGAUUAUUUAAACCAGCAUAGAAAGUGAACAUACUGGAUGAUACUUCAGAAGAUUGCCGAUUAUUGUAAGACGAAUUUUUUCUAACAUGUCAGGAUUCUCAACUUUUCGUCCCCUACAGACGUUGAAAACCAACAAUUAGACGCAAAUAUAAUAGUCUAUUCCGCUGUCAUAUUAUUACAUAAAGACAAGGCAUUCCAUACGCAUACAAUGUUGGGGUAAAAAGUUUUUAGUAAUGCUGAAAAACAAGAACACCCUUCUUAGUUGUUAUCUUAUGUGAAUAUAAGGACAGGACUACUAGAAAAACUGAAUAACUCAGGUUGCAACUGCGUGAAUGAUCAUUCAAAACAAUAGGUAGAUACAGAAGUUCAGAAUCCAUCGUUGCUGUUUUUGUGCAUUAGAAGUUACAGCGAAUGCAGGACAAGGCCAGGACAGUAAUUGCAUAUUAAGAAAUGAAAGGGACACACUUAAAGUGAAAGAAAGGAACAAAGGAAAAUAAAAAAUUGCAAGAAAAAGGGGCUGUUGGGCACAAGCAAGUUGGAAGGAAGGCUGAUAUAGGACAAUAGAUAGCCUAGGCUUUAUUAAGAUUUACAGGUUGACUAAUGCACGUUGAAAUAAAGAAAGCAAAAGAAUAAAACUGUUAAGUACUUACCGUCGCAUUAUGAAGAACUUUGUUUGUACAACAGAUGCCUCAGUUGUCACUGUUCCCUUAGUCACAUCAAGGCCUAGGUCUUUGAGCGCCUUCAUCUGCAGAUGAUGAGAACCAACAUAAAAGUAAAUCCCUUCUGUUUAUCUACUAUAACCUGCAAGCCUGUCAUGUCUAUGUACAAGUAUAGUCUCACACUGAGCUGGCGAACUCCAUAGUCACUCAAUCCAGUAUUUAGUUGAUAACUUGAUAUACAGAGAAGGCAAUGUAAAGAUGUAAAUGUUUCAUGCCUAUGAGUUGGUGCAAUAAUAUGCACCAUGAACAUCAGAGUAAAUAUUAGAAAAGUAUUUCUCUUUAAUUGAUUCUAAUCUAUGGCCAUGCAAAACCACAAGGUGAACCUUGCUUCGAUCUAUCACAAGGAUCAAAGAUUAUAAAAUAGAUUGUGUUUGAAAAGUUCUCCACUCGUUAUCAAUCGACUUAGUUGCAACACAUAUAUCAGUUCAAAAAGAUGAAAGUUAUCUAAAAAAAUAUUCAUAAAAAUUUAUUAAGAAUGAAGCACAACAGCUCCACUUCCACCACACAAUUGAUAGAUUGCUUUUUGUCGUCUGCCGGGAAAAAUAUACAAAAGAGUUGAAGACAUUCAACAAACAGAUUUAACUGGUACUAGAACAUAAGUUAAGAAGAAUAGAAAAUAUUAAGUUAACCGUGUCAAGAAGUGCCCCCAGACGAUCCCCAAAGCUAAGCUGCACAAUCGUUGCAUCAGAAUCUGAGUCUUGAUCUAUCAGCACUAUCGGCAUAGGAACCGAAUCAGUCUCUCGUUCAGCCCCCUACAUAUAAUUAAUUCAUAAUAGUGAAAUUCAUUUAAAUUCGAUAUUAAGGAUGAAAAUCAAAUAUAUUCCACAGACAGGAGGAUAAGAAUUGCAAAUUAAAGAUGACCAAACAAGCUUUACUGUCUGCAUGAAUUAAACAGAACCAAGGCUUGCAUAGGAUCUCCUAAAGAAAAUUAUGAAAAGCAAGUGCAGACUUUAGUUACAAGGUCUCGCUUCUUCACUUUCUUCUUUCCAUUACCCACUUAGUAUCAUUUAAGAAUAUAAAGAUAGCUGUUUUUUUGUCUAAUAGAUAUGCUUAGACAAACAUUAGUGGCAUUGACAUAGAUAAUAAGCAUUGUGAGUUCUGAUUAAACUAUGUGUUUUAGGCCCCUUUUUUUAAUUUUUAAUUUUUGCCCGAGUGUCAGUACGAUUUUAGGUAGCCUUUCGACAGCUGAUAUGGGAAGUACAAUACAAUUACUCAAACAAUGAUAACAAUUUGUUAUUAAUUAAAAUUGAUGAAUAUAUCUUACCAUUGAAGAAGAUCCCAGAGUGUCCACAGAAUUAAUAGAAGAUUGGGAGCCGAUCCUACACCAUAUAUUUAGUACAUCGUCAGCAACAACAUGCUAAACAAAGGAAACAUCGACAGACAGAGCAUCAAGCUAAAAAACUCGGAUAACAUAAAAGCAGUUCUUACAAAAUAAAAAAUUUAAAUAUUGACUGAAUAAAUCUAGAUGUAAGAAAGAACCAUCAAACAAAGCAUCCAACUCCUUGUGCAUCCUUUUGCUCCGGAGGAGGUAGAAACAUCGAUUUGAUCAGAUUAAGUUGGAGUUGGGUCUCCUCAGAGGGGUAUGAGAGGAAAGGAGCUCCGGGAACUUACUUUCCAGCAAAAACAUAAUGAACACGAUUCCGAACAAUAAUUAACUAAGAAAACCUGGUAUAAUCACAGCUUCUCCACUUAAAAAAAAAAAAAAAUCCAUGCUUCACCAAAUUAAACCAGAAAAAAAUCACAAUAGCUCACAAAAAGUGCUCUGAACUCUAGAUUCGUCUAGAAACUACGAAGUCAAACCAAAGAAAGCGAAAGAAAGCAACAUCACAUAAAUCACUAACCCUAGAGCCAAAAACAGGAGAAUCGAAUCAACAACGAUAAGAUUAUAUCGCUGAAAAACUCAGAUUCAUGAUCACAACACAUCAAGAGUGAGGAUCCGAGCUUACCCGCGGAAAUCUCCGCUGAAGCCACCGCUUGCUGGGAGAGAUCCAUGGAGGAAGGUGGAGAACUUGCCAAGCUCGAUCCGAUAAGCGUGGUAGGAUCGGAGAAACCCUAGAGUGGAAACCCUAGAUCGGAGGAGAGGAAGGGUGGGGGAGGGGGAGGAGGAGAGCGGGUGAGAGCAGGUGAAGAAGCUCGCGAGAGCCAUUGUCGCACUCUGCUGUGGUGGAGCUGUCGCCUUUCGUCGAGAAAAGUCUCACGGGGGAAGCUCACAGGUGGUGGGGAUGAGGGCCGUUUUAUCAAAGGAAUUAUUGUAUGGACCUAGUCCACCACGUCAUCCGUAGACUGGCCAACCCUCCGCCCUUCAUCUUAUCUCUUUUUGGCAUAUCCACCGUUCAUUUGAUCUCGGAGUUUUAAAAAUGUAAAAUCUUUUUUCUUCUAAGAUGUGGAUACGUUCAAAAAGAUCGAAAUGAAUAGUGAAUGACCGUGAGGUUUACUGAUGACGUGGUGAACCUUGUUUAGGUAAUAGCUUGUCGUUUUGUAGGCCGAUAAGGUUCGAGAUGGGGCCCAUUCCUCUUGGGCCGACGCUGCCGAUUGGCCGAUUGGUUUCUCAGCGGAGCCUGGUAUGAGUGGUAGAGGCCACGUCGGAUGUCGCACGCGCGAGACCACACGUCAGCUCUCCGAGCCUGAUUAUGUCGACAACAAGGUUUCGCGUGGUCGAUGUCUACCACGUCCUCAAUGGACCCCUGAACUGGUCAAACCAGAAUACAACAUUUUUUUUUUUUCAUUUUUUGCCACCACUGCUUGUAAUUUACCCUUUUCUCCUUUAACUUCCGUUGUUUCGGGAAACGAGGAAUACAUGGCGAGCUCCUCUUCUCCACCUCUCGCCUCCAAUGGCGACGCCCUCGUGAGCUCGAGCGCCUCGCGGCAUCCUCUACUCCCCCUCCCCCCUCCCUCUUCUUCCAAUUAGGUGGUAAUUUAACCCUUCUCCACUCUAUUCGUGAUUUGAUCUAACAUAUUUUCGAUUUUUGAGUGUGUAGUAGUAGUAAGUGCUCGUAAUUUUUUCUCUUUAAAUUAUGGGGGUUUUUUUUUUAUUUUGAAGCAGUUGUUAAUGCAUUGCUAGAUCUUCCUACUAGAUACUUCGCUCAAGAAUUUCUUUGAUGAGGUAAUUGAGAACGAAGUGUUUUCUAGUUCUAAUCGGGUUUACGAGGCCUCGGAGCUUAUCGGAGAGAAUGUAUUGUCUUUGUAUCAUUUUCUGAUGUAGUUAGAAAAUUAAUUAGGAUUUAAAAGUUUUAUUUUUUGAAUUAUCGGAUUAUUACUUUAAUUUACUUUUAGAGAUUUUUAGAGAUUGUUUAGGAAUUUUUGGAGGAAAUAUUUUUUUUAAAAAAAUUAGGGAUUUGAUUUUGUGCUUCUAGGUUUGCGUGAUCUCCUCUAGCCUGUGUGCUUUCUUUUUUUUCUUACACGCUGGCAAAAUUCUUUCUUCCUUAAGGUUAGUUUCGUGAAUUUUUUCUCCAUAUUUUCUGAAAUUUUGUCUAUUUUCUGCAUCUUUUUUAUGUAGUUUCCCAUUUUUAGUGCAUCCUAAAGGAUUUACAGUAGCCUUAUUUUUUUCUGUCUAAUCUGAUAUCUGUCAAAGCCCACAACAGUUGAGCAAUGUUCACUAAUAAGAAUAAUCCUUAAAGUUGAAAAAGAACAAAAGAGCAACAUGGUCACCUAGGAUCUUUAUAUAUAUAUAUAUAUAUAUAUAUAUAUAUAUAUAUAGUUGAGCUAAAAUACUAUCGAUCGCAAACGGGCUCCGUUGUCACCCAUUUGUUUUCAAUGAUCAAGUCUCCAAAUCGACGAUCGGCACCGUUGAACAUGAUCUAUACCACUUGAAGUAUUUAGAAAUCAAAUUUCAAAUCUUUUCGACAUCAUUUGCCCAAUGAUCAAAGGGUUUCAAAAUUUAUAAUUUUAAUGGUUUGUUUGACGUGUUUCUCGUUUAACAGCAUAAAGAUAUCCAAAUCAAUUAAAUUUUGUUAGAAAAUUUUUUAAACUAUUUAAAACAAGAUCUAUACCUUGAUCUUUGAUUAUAAGACUCAUAUCAUCAUUUUUUUUAAGAAUAUUCAUUCAGCCGUUCAUUUUUAUGUCCACUCGAUGGAUAGAGAACAAUAUCGAAAUAUAUGAAAUUGAUUUUUAACACUUCAAGAAGUAUAGAUCAUGUUCAACGGUGCCAAUCGUCGAUUUGGAGGCUCCAUCAUCGAAACAAAGAUGGGUGGCAACGAAGCCCGUUUGCUACGAUAGUAUUCUAGCUCAACUCUCUCUCUCUCUCUCUCUCUCUCUCUCUCUCUCUCUCUCUCUUAAUAUAUAUAAUUAUUAUAGAUAUAUAUAUAUAUAUAUAUAAAACUAGGCUGGAAUACUAUCAAUAGCACCAAGCUAUUGGUGCUAUUAGUUUUUUAACUUUAAUAUAUAUAACUUUUAGGGAGCGUUUGGUUCGCACUAUGAAAAAUUACUAGGAGUAAAAAGAUAUCAAAGAAUCUUAUUUCUAUUCAUCCUAUUACUAAGAAUGUAGUAUUUCGGUGUUUGGUUCGUACGGUCAUAUUAUUUAGUCAUGUUAUUUAAGAUUACGAAAAAUAUACAAUUAAUUAAUUUAUUUAUUUAUUUAUUUUUAAAUAAUACUAUAAAAAAUUUUAACAUCUUUUUAGAAAAAAAAAGAGAGUAUAAUUAAAGACAUAGAAAGAAAAAUAGAGUCGAGAUUAGAGAGAAUGAGAGGAUUGAGAUUUAGAAAAAGAGGGGGAGAAAUAGCUUAAUUUAGAGAGAGAAAAAGAGUUAAAGUUUAGAAAGAAAAAGAUAAGUUUAGAAAGAGAUAUGAGGUUAGAGUGUAAAAAAAAAUAAUACCAAUUAGCCGGCGGAUGGGAAGAAAAAAAAAGAGAUUAGAUAUAUUAUAAUUAUUCCAAUUCAUUAAUAUAAGAAUACCCACCCUCCCUCAAAGAAAUAAGAUUAGUACUUUGGGAUGCAUCUUAUUUCCAAGUAAAUUCAGUAUUACCAACCAGAUUACUUAGUGCGUUUAGCCAAACAUCGUCAUAUUUUUUUAUUCCUAUUGGAUUACUAGGAAUCUAAAAAAGAUAGCGCGAACCAAACGCACGCUAAAUUUUAUGGGUGUUUUCACUGCACAUUGCUAACGAUACCGGAUGUCGACUAGCAUCUGUUAAUAAAGUGCAGGGAUUACAUAGUACUAGUAGUUUAUAGGAUAACUUAACGAAAAGAGAAGGAAAGAAAAUAGAAGAAGUAUAGUGUAAAAGGCACCUUGUAGUUAACUGUAACUAAGGCUUGAUAUACCUGCUUAAGCUCACUGUAGUUUUCCUGAUGUUAUGCUAGAUUAGACAGUAAUUUGGGAUUAAAGUGUUUGACGGAGAACCAAGAAUGGGAAUAUCCAAGAUGGUUGGUUUGGCAGCAGCAACGCUAUUCUUAGCAUCUAUUUGCCUGAAACUGUCCCGCAACACAUUGAUCAUGGUGCCUAUCCUGUUCGACUCAUUGAUUGCUUCUUUGGUUGCUGUUGCAUCUCAUAAUUCAGUUAACUUUCCGUUAAUCUUGGGAAAGAACUCUGAUGGGAGAUUCCCUCUCUGGUCAAAACUUAUCUUUGCGCCAUUUUUGCUGCUUGUUCGGGCCUAUGUAUAUGUGAGAAGAUUGAAGAGCAAAGAACCAGUAUAUAAUGAAAUUUCUGAAGGUUUAUAUGUAGGAGGGUGGCCUUAUUCUUUAGACCAGUUGCCACCUGGUGGACCGGCAGUUAUUGAUUGCACAUGUGAAUUACCGAGAAGUUCCUUUAUUCCAAAGGAUGAAUAUCUAUGCAUUGCUACAUGGGAUACAAGGUCUCCUUCACCAUCACAAAUUGAAUCUGCAGUUCGUUGGGCGUGUAGAAAAAGGGCCGAGAGGAAACCCAUCUACGUCCACUGCGCAUUUGGUGAGGUUCUGACAUCUCUCCUAAUUUCAUAGGAGUUUCAUAGAACUAUAUGUCUGUAAUCCCUCUCUCUCUCUCUCUCUCUCUCUCUCUGAACUUUCAGCUAUGAUGUUUAUAGUUAUUUUGAAGUUAUUGCAUAGUAAGUGAAGAAAGUUUUUGUUCUUACUUUUAAAAUUAGGGAACUCAGCACCUGGAGCUUCAAUAUAAGCAUUAGUUGAGUGCCUAUUGCCUAAUUCUUUAUUCCGUCCAGCUGAAAGAUCUCAAUUUGGCAUUUUUAGCCACUGUGACCACUGAUUGUUGGCAGAGAGACAUAAAGUUGUAUUUAUUUUGUUGUUAUCAUCAAGCAUUUAAUUUUACAUGCUUGAAGUUCUCUAUUAUGGCAUGCACGAAAUAUAAGCUUGAAUAAGGCUAGUUGCCUAUUCGAUUUGUUAACUUCCAACUUUGACAACCUCAUUUAUUGCAAAAUAGUGAUUUCUUCUAUUAUGAGUUAGCUGCAAGGCGCAGACGCCUUUCUAUACUCUGUUUACGGACAACUCUAAGUUCAGUCAGUCUUAGGCUUUGAGGGCAAUUAUCAUCCGCUUCUUGGGCCUGGGAAUCAAGAAUAAGUUUCAUAUUUCAGCUAUCUAUGGAAAGAUAGAAACGAAACUCUACAUUUUGGAUUAAUUUUGUUAGGCAUCAAUGCUCUCUGGUACUUAGGGCUCUUCAUUUUGGGGGCAUAUAUGAUGCGACAAUUAUACUCUUUGGCUGACAUUUAAUACAAGAGGCUCCGGAAUGUAGUCAUUGCGCAAUACAUCUUCUCUUUUAUGCAUUGACUAUUUGUUAUUUUCUGAAUCAUUAGAGGACAUAUAAUAAAGCAUGUUAAAGGCACCUUUUUCACUCUUCUAUUGUCACCUGACCUGCGACGGAGGUAGAAGGAAGUAUAUCAUAGCAUCUAGUUGAAACUAGGAAAAACAAAUUUUUUUGCGAGAGAAAGGUAGCAUGCUACCCGCUUCGUUUAUUUCUUUUUAGAAAUAAACUUAAUCAAGCUUUUUGCCACUUGCGCUAGAGACGGUCGAUAGAAAAGGCAAAAUUGAGAGAUUUUCUGGUUGUCAUACAAUUUCAUUUUGUCGUUAUGCGAUUUCUUGAUGUUGUGCUGUAACUUAACUUUCUUAUAAUAGCAUAUGCUAGGUGCAUAUUUCUACAAGAAAAUUUGUGAGGUUUAUAGGAUCUCUUUGGGAUGACAAUUAAUGUGCACUAAAGCGUUUAUUAUGUUCUGUAUAUUCUUCUGGUCUUUUGUGCAACUAAAAUUGCCUAAGAAAAUGUCUAUCUUGGCAACAUUUAAGCCUUACACGGGCGUAUGCUACCUACUGGCAUUAUCAUGUUCUCACUUAAACAAGGUUUAUGAUCAUCUUUACUUGUCAGAGCCCUGUUCAAAUUUUUGUGGUUAAUAACAUAACUUUUACUCUUUUUUUUAUGGUUUUGAUGGAUCACGCAACAGGCCAUGGAAGAAGUGUCUGCAUCAUGUCUGCCCUUCUGGUUGCGUUAGGUCUGGCUGAUAACUGGAAAGAAGCUGAGAAGAUUAUUCGGGAAAAAAGACCAAAAAUCAGAAUGAAUGUUCUUCACAGGAGAAACUUGGAAGAAUGGUCCAAAUACAGGCUUUCAUCAAAAACAGGGUAGCUAAUUUUGCUCUCACCUUUGUGACUAUUUAUGUGCCUUGGAGAAGCAUCUAUCCUGCAACUUUCCCUACAUAUUUUAGCUUUAAAAUGGAUCUCUUUAUGCAAACAAUGGUCUAUUGUGAGCCAUUAGGUAUGCUGAAGCCGACAUGUCAGUGUUUUUAGUCUUAUGCUUCUAUCUUGAGUAAUCGCCAUUCAUGCAUGCUUGUUUACCUUUUCCUUGUGAAGCCACUUCCGUUUGUUUCAGAUUUUUGCUGAUACACACAAACAAUAUAUAUUUAGAGACAUCUUUAUAUAUUCGAACCGCUACUCGUUUGUUUUUUCUCUUACCAACAGCUUUUAAACCUUUUACUUCUCUUACGCCCCCUAUUUUCAGCCGUCUAUUAACAUAAUCUUUUUAACUUCGGGUAAACUCUAAUUUACCCCAUUGUGAUAUAGUGCAUUUUAACUUUGUCCCCCUAUGAUUUAAAAAUUUACACUUAAUUAUUUUGUGGCUUAAUGCUUUCUUAUUUUGCCACCCGGUGGUUUGUAAAGUUACAGGUAACUACUCCAUGAUUUUACUUUUUUUUUUGUUUGACUUUAAGAAUCUAUUAUUAAACAAGAUACAACUCCGUAAUUUUUCAUAAAUUUUACCUUGUUUUUCGGUAAAACAAAAAUAAAACUAAAAAAUAAUUAUGUAUAUUAUUUUUUUUAAUCAUAAUAUAACAAAGUAAAAUAUGUGCAUAAAUAGAAAUUUACCCUUCAAUUCUCCUUGUAAAGAAAGAAUGAAAUCUGGAAAGCUUAUCUUCUAAGUCUCUGGAUGUUUCUUUCUAUCUACCUUUGCUGCACAAGAAGAUGUCCUUGAACGCUAAUUCCACAAUUUCUAAGUUCUGAUACAAUCUGUUGGGAUUAUUAUUCUGCUUUUAGAUAGAUUAUAAGGUUUUUAACUCUAGCACUUGCAUUAAUGAGAUGACUACAAAUUUGAAACCCACACUUACCCCCUUUGUAUGUAAAAAAUAAUAAUAACAAUAAUAAAGUGGAGAGUUAUUGUUGACUGAGUCAUCAUUUAGUGGUACUAAAAAUAAUAGACAUCAGUUUUUGGACUCCAGCUAUUAUUAUUUCAAAUAUAAUGCUUUUCGUCCCGUCGCCAAUUAGUUGCACUGCUAAUCUGCAGAUCAAAGAGAUUAUUUUCUGGACCCUAGCAAUUGUUAGGAAUAUCACAUUAAAAAUGCUAAGCUCGACCGACUGUCCAUAAAGCAAGUGACAAAGGGCUUGGUGGUUGGUACCCGAGACCCAACUUCGAAUCCUAGUUGAUUCAUAUUUCUAUCUAAGUUUAUUUCUAAAUAAAAUAAACGAAGCGGGUAGCGUGCUACCUAUCUCUCUCAAAAAAAAAAAAAAUGCUAAGCUUGACUAUAUUUUCUUUUGGUAAAGCAUUUUUUAGUACAUCAGUGGUGAUUUUGUAUAGUAAAUCCAUCUGCCCUUUUUUUUUCUCAACCGAUGGUUUAAAAGACUUAUUUUUUUGAUAAAUAAAUAAUAUGCUAUUCGUUUCGUUUAUUUCAUUUAGAAAUAAAUAUAGCCGGAAAUAUGAAUUAACUAAAAUUUAAAUUUAGAAUCCCAAAUAUCAAUCAACAAAUUGUAUUUUUUUGUCACUUACAUUAUGUACGGUCGGCAUGGUUUAAAAGACUUUGCUGCAAUAAUGAGUUGCUGCUGCAUUUUGAUUUUCUGCUGUAUGAGCUUACUGCAGAUUUGAUUCGUGCCAGAAACUAAUUAAAACUUCCUACAGCUUUAGGUAUUUGAAAUAUUAUUGCUAUAAAUGUAAACUAUUGAUAAAGUAUUAAUAUAAAAUAUAAAAAAAAUAAAUAAAUAAAGUAUUAAUAUAAAAUAUAAUUAUAAUAUAAUAUUGAAGAUAUUUAAUUGAUAAAUACAGUAGGAAUUGGAUUCAGCGAUACUGCUUCUCUAACUAGGAGACAACAUGUGGAGGGACAAUCACUCUUCAAAAAAAAAAAACAACACAAAAGAGUAAUAAUGGUUUCGUCCCUUUGACAAGACGCUACAUAAGGCAAUGGGGCUUCUUAUCCGUGGUACGAUCCGCGACCCGCUAUCGAAAGAACAUGGCCUCGAACAAGUCCCAUCAGGAGGGCCCCACCCUCUGACAAGUGGUGAUUGGUGAACACUAUUCUAGUUUGUUUCAAAAUUUCAAUCAAUAUACUGUUGAACCCAACUAUGAAUUCGCCAAAAGGGACAGCGCAUCCGCAAGAAAAGGAAAAAUGCUUUGCUCACUCUCAAAUUAUUAUUUUUACAAAAACCUUCAAAAAAAUUUUCUGUGAUUUCGUACUUUUUUAUUUUAAUAUUUUAUAAUUUAAAGUGUAUCAUGUUAGUACCCUAUGAUUUCGCAUUUUUUCACUUUAGUAUUCUAUGGUUUAAAGUGUAUCAAGUUAGUAUUUUGUAGUUUUUUUUUUGUAUUAAACUAGUAUCAUGUGGUUUUAUUUUUCUCCGAAUAAAAUAUUAAACCACAAGAUACUAAAGUGAGAAAGUGCGAAACCACAGGGUACUAACUUGAUACACUUUAAACUAUAGGUUACUAAAGUGAGAAAGUGCGAAACCACAGUGUACUAACUUGGUAUACUUAAAACCGCAGGGUACUAAAGUGAGAAAAAAUGAAACCACAAGGGGAGUUUUUGAAGUUUUUCCUUAUUUUUAUUAUUAAUUUUCUUUCUGCGAGUUCAAAUAGUACUCUGGAUUUUCCGUAUAAAUUAAUUUAUUGAGCCCUUAUUUGGUAUAUAUAGUUAUUAAUUUUUUAUUUUCUAAAUUUAUAUAAUUUAAUAUAUUGAAAAAAAAUUAUUAAUUAUUAUUGUAGUCGGUUAUUUUAAAACACAUCAAACUAAGUGAUUGAUGAUAAAUUAUUUUUAAAAAAAAUUCAAAUUAGAAAGUUUUUAUAUUUUGUUGCCAAGUAAGGAUUGCAUAUAAUUUGCUGUCUGUUCAUACAUUUUUUGACACUCAAAUUUUUUUCUAAAAAUAAAAAAUAAAUAAGGCACAAACGAAGUUUCUUGCUUAUAAUAUAUGUUAAGAUAUUAACAAUUCAAAACAAAAUAAAUAUUAGUUUAUUAAUAUAUCAAUAAUUCAGAUAGAGUAUUUAUAGGGAUCCAAAAUAUUUGAGAAACAAAAUAUAUAAUAAUUCAAUAAAAUAACAGGUCAGUGUCAGAAGAAUCUUUUCUACAGGGGUUUUUCUAAAUUAUUCUGGGCCCCGGUUGGUGGGAGGAAAAAACAAAAAAAAAAAAAAAAAAAAAAUCUUCGUACCAGUUAUAGUGUACAAGAUAUAUUCCAAAUCAAUUUCAUUGUGCCUAAUGAGUAUGAUUGGAUAUUGUUUUGUAAUUAUGAUAAAAAAAAAAAAAAAAAUCCCCAUGUCUGCAAUUUGAUCUGAUGGAACCCUCCCUUUGAUAAAUGACAACCACUAUAGUCCGUGGCCCACGAUUUAUACAUUAUAAAAAUGAUUUUUAAAAAAAUUAAAAUAAGCCGUAAAGUUGGAAAAGUUGUUGCUGGAAAUGCUGAAAGAAACCUCCUGUUUUGUCCUUUUCUCAUCAAGUUGUGGGAGAUGGGAGAUGUGGGAGAUGAAGAUAAUAAACAUAUGAAUGCAGUAGUACUUGAUAGAAAAAAUUCGUUCAUUCUCAUCUACACUGCAACUGCAAUAGAGUACGUAGUCAUCCAUUAAUGAUUCAUCAGUGAAGUGUUCAAACUGAUACAGAUCUAUCCUGCCAUUCUUUAAUUCUCUUCUUCACCUCUCACUUGACUCCUGAGCCCCUCUCUUGGCUACUGCUGGAUCCGAGGGAUUGAUUGUUACAUAACAUUCCAACUUCUCCGGAUCUCCCUUGAAUUUCUAGAACUGCGAUCGCCACCGCUCUGAGCCCAAAUGAUCAAGGAAAUUUGCGGCGGAGGAGAAUUAGUUAUCUUCUAAUAUACCUCAGUCAGAAGGCUGAAAAAUGACUCUGCGCCGGUUGAUGAAUUAUUUGUAGCUCUGCCGCCGCAUUGCAGUUGCUGUCGUCGGGAACCAAGGUCCUGUUAGAAAGGGAGCCACAAUUUUGUGAAUGCCAUCCUCACAUACCUACUGAAAAAUUGAGUAACAAGACGCAGCUAAAAUUAUAAGGGAGACCAAAUUCGAUCAUAGGGACAACACUGCUUAAAUAAAUAUUUGCUUUUGUGAUGAAAGGUUACAUAUACAGAGAGAGAGAGAAAGAAUUGAGCUCUCUAUACUUUUAAAAGCACAAGUCGUUGGCGCUUGUAGGUUUGACCUUUAGAUGAAGAUUUGUACGUAGAAUUAGUAUAAUAGUGGUCCCGUAGGACAUAUAUAUAUAGAGAGAGAAAGAGAGAGAGAGAGAGAGUUCAGCUAUUAUUCUAUCGAUAGUACCAAGCUUUUGGUACUAUCGAAUUUUCUGCCGUUAGAUCUAUCAUUUGAUUAUUUCCACCCAUUAGAUUAUACUAUUCAACAAACCAUCUACUCAAUCCUAGAGGACCACUAUCAUCCUAUCCACUUAUCCUUUCAUCCAAUGGCCGAAAACUGAAUAGCACCAAGUGUUUGAUACUAUAAUAGUAUAUAAGCGUAAUUCUAUAUAUAUAGAGAGAGAGAAAGAGAAAGAGAGAUAGCAGGACUGCUAUGCUCCUAGAAGCACGGAGGCCUUCGUGCCCCUAAGCCAUUUUCGAUGAUAGAAUUUUCGAAUCGAUGAUCGGCUCCGCUAGACUUGAUCUAGCAUAUUUGAAAUUUCUAGAAAAUAAUUUUUACAAUUUUUCGAUAUCAUUUACCUAGUAGUCGAAAGAGGAUUCAAAAUUAAUAAGUUUUAGUGGUUAAUAUCUACCAUUUUCAAGUUUAACGGUGUAGAAACAUUGAAAUCAGAUAAAAUUUUGAUUCAAAAUUUUUUACACUAUCUACAACAAGAUCAAUAUCUCUGAUCGAAAAUUUUAAUACUAUAUCACCACUUUCUAUAGGAUUUUUAUUUUCAGCCGUUGAUAUUAAAUCCUUUUGAGUGCUAGGUAAAUAAUAUUGAAAAAUCACAAAAAUUAUUUUCUAUAAACUUCAAAUAUACUAGAUUAAGUCUAACAAAGCCGAUUAUUGAUUUGGAAUUCCACUAUCGAAAAUGGCUCAGGGAAACGGAGGCCUCUGUGCUCUUAAGAGCACAGCAGUCCUACUAUAUAUAUAUAUAUGUGUGUGUGUGUGUGUGUGUGAGAGAGAGAGAGAGAGAGAUAUAUAUAUG